UUCCUUUGUCCCUCGUCUCUGUAAACUCGCUCCCUCUAUCUCCUUCCUCUCUCCCUCUCUCCCACUAGAAUUACAACAUUUAUCCCCAGACAAAAUCCAGAAAACUUAGAGCUCUACUAUGUCUCAAAAAUAAAAUAAAAAAGGAAAGCAAGAAUGCGAAAUUAUGUACAAUCUUUUAUUACAUUCUUAUUUAAUUGAUUACAUUCCUAUGUUGUUUGUGCUUACGAAAAGGCAUAUCCCGUUGAAGGUAGGGUCGAAACCGAAACUGCAUGGUUAAUCGCUAAAAGAUGUUUUCUUGUGCCGAAGAAAUUUCAUGAAAUUAUAGCAGUCGGUAUGGAACUAGUCGUAGGAAAAGUGCACUUACUAGUAUGAUAAAAAAUUUGAGUUUUGCAUUAGGCAGUUGUUGAGAUGCUCAGACAAAAGCGGUGAAAAAUUAUCAAGGUGACACAAAUAAUGGGGAUGAGUUGAUGCGAGCAAACAGUUGGUACCUAAUUUUGCCCAAAUUCAUCACAAGGUUCAACCAUCACAAAUGUUGGAAGAAGUCAAGUUGAGUAUGCAAGGAACUUCAGAUUGAUAAAAGAGAUUGGGAAGCUAUGUUCAUGAAGGUUGACGACAAAGCAUCGCCGAACACACAAGCUUUUUGUAGGCACAAAUUAAGGAAAGUGACAAGAAGAAGAAAUCUUUUAUGUGAUGAGGCACCUCGAACCUCAGUGAAGACGAACCUAGCAUCACAAAUUGGUUUGGGUACAUAUAAUUAUUAGGUUAUCUUAUUAGAUUUUUAAGAUGUACCCCUUUUUAUUUGAGAAAUAAAAUUUAAUUAUAAUGUUUCA